rnacentral:rRNA from 1 species
UAACGCGUGAGGAACCUGCCUUCCAGAGGGGGACAACAGUUGGAAACGACUGCUAAUACCGCAUGAUGCGUUGGAGCCGCAUGACUCCGACGUCAAAGAUUUAUCGCUGGAAGAUGGCCUCGCGUCUGAUUAGCUGGUUGGUGAGGUAACGGCCCACCGAGGCGACGAUCAGUAGCCGGACUGAGAGGUUGGCCGGCCACAUUGGGACUGAGAUACGGCCCAGACUCCUACGGGAGGCAGCAG